rnacentral:rRNA from 1 species
AUUCCAGCUCCAAUAGCGUAUAUUAAAGUUGUUGCGGUUAAAAAGCUCGUAGUUGGAUUUCUGCUAGGGACGAUCGGUCCACCCACUGGGUGUGUAUCUGUGUCGGCCUUGGCAUCUUCCUGGCGAACGCAACUGCACUUGACUGUGUGGUGCGGUAUCCAGGACUUUUACUUUGAGGAAAUUAGAGUGUUUCAAGCAGGCGCACGCCUUGAAUACAUUAGCAUGGAAUAAUAAGAUAGGACCUGAGUUCUAUUUUGUUGGUUUCUAGAGCUGAGGUAAUGAUUAAUAGGGAUAGUCGGGGGCAUUCGUAUUCAAACGACAGAGGUGAAAUUCUUGGACCGUUUGAAGACGAACUAAGGCGAAAGCAUUUGCCAAGAAUGUUUUCAUCA